rnacentral:rRNA from 1 species
GCAUGGUCCGGUGUGAAAAACUCCGGUGGUGUGAGAUGGACCCGCGUUUGAUUAGCUAGUUGGUGGGGUAACGGCCUACCAAGGCGACGAUCAAUAGCCGACCUGAGAGGGUGACCGGCCACAUUGGGACUGAGACACGGCCCAAACUCCUACGGGAGGCAGCAGUGGGGAAUAUUGCACAAUGGGGGAAACCCUGAUGCAGCGACGCCGCGUGAGUGAAGAAGUAUUUCGGUAUGUAAAGCUCUAUCAGCAGGGAAGAAAAUGACGGUACCUGACUAAGAAGCCCCGGCUAACUACGUGCCAGCAGCCGCGGUAAUACGUAGGGGGCAAGCGUUAUCCGGAUUUACUGGGUGUAAAGGGAGCGUAGACGGUAAAGCAAGUCUGAAGUGAAAGCCCGGGGCUCAACCCCGGGACUGCUUUGGAAACUGUUUAACUAGAGUGCUGGAGAGGUAAGCGGAAUUCCUAGUGUAGCGGUGAAAUGCGUAGAUAUUAGGAGGAACACCAGUGGCGAAGGCGGCUUACUGGACAGUAACUGACGUUGAGGCUCGAAAGCGUGGGGAGCAAACAGGAUUAGAUACCCUGGUAGUCCACGCCGUAAACGAUGGAUACUAGG